UGGGUNCUCCAGACAAUCUAAACUGUUGGG
rnacentral:piRNA from 1 species